CAGAAAAUAAUUUAAAUAUAAAAUAUGAACUUUGGAAGUUUAAAAUGAUUAUUUUAUCUUUUCUGA
rnacentral:tRNA from 1 species